rnacentral:tRNA from 1 species
GGUUCUUUAGCUCAGUUGCUUAGAGCUAACAGCUCAUAACCGUUCGAUCGCUGGUUCGAGUCCAGUAAGAACCA